AGGACGAACGCUGGCGGCGUGCUUAACACAUGCAAGUCGAACGAAGCAGCAAUGCUUAGUGGCGGACGGGUGAGUAACACGUAGGUAACCUGCCCUGUAGUGGGGGAUACCCAGCCGAAAGGUUGGCUAAUACCGCAUUCGCUCGUAGCUUGAAAUAGUUACGAGGAAAGAUUUAUCGCUAUAGGAGGGGCCUGGGUCCGAUUAGCUAGUUGGUGAGGUAAUGGCUCACCAAGGCGACGAUCGGUAGCUGGUCUGAGAGGACGAUCAGCCACACUGGAACUGAGACACGGUCCAGACUCCUACGGGAGGCAGCAGUGGGGAAUUUUCCGCAAUGGGCGAAAGCCUGACGGAGCAACGCCGCGUGGAUGAUGAAGUCUUUCGGGACGUAAAUCCUUUCAGCAGGGACGAAAAAAUGACGGUACCUGCAGAAGAAGCAUCGGCUAACUACGUGCCAGCAGCCGC
rnacentral:rRNA from 1 species